rnacentral:misc_RNA from 1 species
UCUCCGUAGGUGAACCUGCGGAGGGAUCAUUACAGAGUUCAUGCCCUCCGGGUAGAUCUCCCACCCAUUGCUAUAACUACUCUCGUUGCUUUGUCGGGCCGCUGGGCCCUGCCCGGCCGCCGGCCCCGGCUGGCGCGUGCCCGCCAGAGACCUCACAAACUCUGAAUGUUUGUGUCGUCCGAGUAACUAUACAAUCGUUAAAACUUUCAACAACGGAUCUCUUGGUUCUG